GCAGUGGGUACGGGCAGACUAGAGUGCGGUAGGGGAGAUUGGAAUUCCUGGUGUAGCGGUGGAAUGCGCAGAUAUCAGGAGGAACACCGAUGGCGAAGGCAGAUCUCUGGGCCGUAACUGACGCUGAGGAGCGAAAGCGUGGGGAGCGAACAGGAUUAGAUACCCUGGUAGUCCACGCCGUAAACGUUGGGCGCUAGAUGUAGGGACCUUUCCACGGUUUCUGUGUCGUAGCUAACGCAUUAAGCGCCCCGCCUGGGGAGUACGGCCGCAAGGCUAAAACUCAAAGGAAUUGACGGGGGCCCGCACAAGCGGCGGAGCAUGCGGAUUAAUUCGAUGCAACGCGAAGAACCUUACCAAGGCUUGACAUACACCGGAAACGGCCAGAGAUGGUUGCCCCCUUGUGGUCGGUGUACAGGUGGUGCAUGGUUGUCGUCAGCUCGUGUCGUGAGAUGUUGGGUUAAGUCCCGCAACGAGCGCAACCCUCGUUCUAUGUUGCCAGCGCGUUAUGGCGGGGACUCAUAGGAGACUGCCGGGGUCAACUCGGAGGAAGGUGGGGAUGACGUCAAAUCAUCAUGCCCCUUAUGUCUUGGGCUUCACGCAUGCUACAAUGGCCGGUACAAAGGGCUGCGAUACCGUAAGGUGGAGCGAAUCCCAAAAAGCCGGUCUCAGUUCGGAUUGAGGUCUGCAACUCGACCUCAUGAAGUCGGAGUCGCUAGUAAUCGCAGAUCAGCAACGCUGCGGUGAAUACGUUCCCGGGCCUUGUACACACCGCCCGUCAAGUCAUGAAAGUCGGUAACACCCGAAGCCGGUGGCCUAACCCUUGUGAAGGA
rnacentral:rRNA from 1 species